GAUGAAGAACGCAGCGAAAUGCGAUACGUAGUGUGAAUUGCAGAAUUCAGUGAAUCAUCGAAUCUUUGAACGCACAUUGCACCUCUCGGUAUUCCGGGAGGUAUGCCUGUUCGAGCGUCAUUUCAACCAUCAAGCCCCCGGCUUGUGUUGGGGACCUGCGGCUGCCGCAGGCCCUGAAAAGCAGUGGCGGGCUCGCUGUCACACCGAGCGUAGUAGCAUACAUCUCGCUCUGGGCGUGCUGCGGGUUCCGGCCGUUAAACCACCUUCAUAACCCAAGGUUGACCUCGGAUCAGGUAGGAAGACCCGCUGAACUUAAGCAUAUCAAUAAGCGGAGGA
rnacentral:misc_RNA from 1 species